rnacentral:rRNA from 1 species
GACGAACGCUGGCGGCGUGCUUAACACAUGCAAGUCGAACGGAAAGGCCCUGCGUUUGUGGGGUGCUCGAGUGGCGAACGGGUGAGUAACACGUGAGUAACCUGCCCUUGACUUUGGGAUAACUUCAGGAAACGGGGGCUAAUACCGGAUAGGAGAUCCUGCUGCAUGGUGGGGGUGGGAAAGUUUCGGCGGUUGGGGAUGGACUCGCGGCUUAUCAGCUUGUUGGUGGGGUAGGGGCUUACCAAGGCUUUGACGGGUAGCCGGCCUGAGAGGGUGACCGGCCACAUUGGGACUGAGAUACGGCCCAGACUCCUACGGUGGGCAGCAGUGGGAAAUAUUGCACAGUGGGCGGAAGCCUGAGGCGGAGGCGCCGCGUGCGGGAUGACGGCCUUCGGGUUGUGAACCGCUUUCGCCUGUGACGAAGCGUGAGUGACGGUAAUGGGUGAAGAAGCACCGGCUAACUACGUG